CGGGAAAAGCUCAAAUUUAAAAUCUGGCGUCCUUUGGGCGUCCGAGUUGUAGUCUAGAGAAGCGUUUUCUGUGUCGGACCGUGUAAAAGUCCCCUGGAAUUGGGCAUCAUAGAGGGUGAGAAUCCCGUCUUUGACACGGACUGCCGGUGCUCUGUGAUGCGCUCUCAA
rnacentral:rRNA from 1 species